rnacentral:tmRNA from 1 species
GGGUCAAGAUGGGAGUAGCGAGCCGUGGGCCAGGGCCACGUUAAUAACUGGAAACUUAAAUUAAACGCUAAAACAAACAAUAAUUUAGCUUUCGCUGCAUAGUCAGCGGACGUCUUACCACUAGUUUGUCUGUGACUGGUGACUAAGACGAAAACAAAUAGCAGACUACUUACCAAAGUUGCUUCGACUUGGUAGGGAAACUUAGAAGCUAGCAACUUUAAGAUUUUGUCUUUAGAAGCUUAGAGAAGCGAAACCCUAAAAUAGAGACUGCGCUCGGAGAGACUGCUGUUAAGAUACCUUCGGACGGGGGUUCGACUCCCCCCGCCUCCACCA